UUUUUAAAUUUGUAGUGAGUAAUAUUCCCUCCGUUAUAAAAUGUUACAAACUAGAAGGGUGAGUCAUAUUAUACCCAUUCUACAUCAACAAAUCUGGACAGUAUUUUAGAACAAGAAAACUAAACAGAAUCAUAAUAUUUUAGGAUGAAGCUAGGAUAUACUUAAUUAAUUAUAUGCUAAUAUUUUUUUAUACGAUUAAAAAGCUAAAGCUAAAGGCACAUUCGAACAAAGCCCAAAUCAGUGAAUCACUGAACCCUUCACGCGUCCAUGUUCCGGACACCUUCCUGAGGAGGCGGACAAAUUUAUGGACGCACGAAGCGCAUAUGUUCAGGAGUGCAGACAAUGCAGGCUGAUGCAUCUGUUCUCGACUUCUCGUGUGGUUUGGAGAAGUUGAUAGUUAGGGCCCUCCAUGUCGUGCCCCCCUCAUCACUUCAUUUAGUUUGUUUUCUUCCUAUCAUUGUGGGGGUACUAGUAUCUCUUACCCGUCUCUCAUCCAGCAAUUUUUUUUCUGGUGGAAUUAAGAGGUUCACUUUCAGUUGAAGACAAGGCCUUUCCCUGAAGUUCUGAGAAGACUGGUACGGCGGCAAAUCUUUACAUAGGACUAGAGGCUGGGGCGCCGCCUGCACGGACUAAAACGACAAUCAGUCGGUAAAUAGAUGAGGGAAAUCUAUGAAAAUUUGAUAAGCGACAUCAUAGAUUACAGUUCAACUCUUGUGGAUAUCAAUAGCAUCGUAAUUAGUAUUGCCUUUUUCCGUAAUAAAUAUCCUACUACAGAUGGACACUUUAUUAUCAACGUAGAGCAUCUCUGUUGAAAUUUCGGUUCGUUACAGACUCUUGGUUCACAUGAAUAUACAAUGUUUUUAUUACAUAAUAACCCAAAAUUAAUAGAAAAAUAAUCCCUGGUACACAUUGCUAUACACUUUGGGUUUUUGCAAAUAGGGUAACUGAAGAAUAAUGGGCCCAACUUUUCAAGAUUACAUUCAGCAUCCCAUCAUAUUCUGAAGAAUCCAAACAUGUUGGAAUGUAAGUACAUGAAAACAUACGUUAGCUAAUGAAAUCAUAUAUUGAGAAGCACCUGCAGAUAUAUACCAUACCCUAAUAAAACCUUACCGCACUAAGUGCCCGAGCACACGAAAAAAUUGUUCAUAGGUCAAUCAGUGAUAAUGGAACACCAAAAUUCCAUUGAUGUUUAUUUAUGAGCUAGCAGCUAAUUAGAAGUGGGUAAAAUUUACUCAGCUAGUAUACCUCUUACAGGCACAUGGGAACCAGCCUCUAGUAGGAUUUGUUCAGUUCACGACACCGCAAACUCCAAGCUCCUUCAACAGAAGAAGGUCUUGGGGAAUGGAAUGGCACCGAGCAGAAGAUGCUGAUCGAACCAAAAGAAAAAUACACUAUCAAAGCACAGCAAACUAAAACUCCAAAUGAAUCAAAACAUCAAGACUGCAGGAAAAGUAGUAGCUCCCCAACAUCAAUACUGGAUCCACGUGCUGAAGAAGUUGGUGGAGGCGCGACCAUCGGCCACCACGUGCGGCGAGCGGCUAGACCGGCCAGUUGACGACGACGGCUGCAGGUUA
rnacentral:lncRNA from 1 species